rnacentral:rRNA from 1 species
GACGAACGCUGGCGGCGUGCUUAACACAUGCAAGUCGAGCGGAGCGGCGAACGGGUGAGUAACGCGUGAGUAACUGCCCCCCUCUCUGGGAUAACAGUUGGAAACGGCUGCUAAUACCGGAUAGUGGGGGAUGACUCGCGUUCUAUCAGCUUUUUGGUGGGGUAGUGGCCUACCAAGGCGACGACUGGUAGCCGGCCUGCGAGGGCGACCGGCCACAUGGGGCUGAGAUACGGACCAAACUCGUACGGGAGGCAGGAGUGGGGAAUAGUGCACAAUGGGGGAGACCCUGAGGCAGCAACGCCGCGUGCGGGAUGAAGGCCUGAGGGUUGUAAACCGCUUUCAGCCAUGACGCGGUAGUGGGAGAAGAAGCACCGGCUAACUACGUGCCAGCAGCCGCGGUAAUAG